GCUUUUGUCCAGAAACUCUUCAUGAUUCAAAGUAUCACUCCCUCUUCUCUCUUCUCUCUCUUCAAACUCUAAUAGCGACUGAACAAAAAAACUAGAACACACCUCCCCGCCGUCGCAAACCGUUGAAGCACAGAAGAUGAAUCAGUUUUAUCCACCAAACCCGAAAAGCUUCGUUCUCUUCAAUCUCAGUUCUUCGCAAAUCACCUCGCAUUUUCUAUCUGGACGAUGUUCCAAUCAGGGUGUUCAAUAGAUUAGGCUGGAGCCUUAGGCUGUUACGGUAAGCUAUUGCGUGUUCUUGAUAUGCCUUUUAUGACUAACUGUGUUAUAGUUUACAAUCCAUUUAAAUUAGUUGUUUUCUUCUCCAUCAAUCUUUUCACUCUAUAUGUUUCCUUCUAUUCUUCAAAUUAAUGUGAAAGGUCUCUUGCAAAACUCUUGACAAUAUUUUAAGCUCUAAAUAUUUUAUUUCUGUUAUUCUGAACUUUCCAAGUGAUAUAUUUAAUAUUAUUUUUAUUUUUAAAUGAUAUUUGAUAUUUCAUUUUUGUUUUUUGAUUAAUUUUUGUACUCCUUCUGUUUAUGCAUUUUUCGAAGAACCUUAGGCAAUGAAUUCAUGACUUAUAUAUUAUGAGAACCCCCAUCUCAUAAUGCCAUGGGCACUGCUAAGUGGCAGGUAAUUCAUCAUUAUGACCCUUUUUUGUAAAUUUCUUAAUUGGCACUGCUAAGCUGCUUGAACUUUGAUGAUACAAUCUUUCUUUUCUGUAUGGCUUCUUACAUCCAUCUGUUAAAUUUGUUAAUUUCCAACAGUUCUCUUACUUCAUUGUAAGUAACAAAAAAACUACCACUUAUAUUUGUUUUAAAAUGAUCUUUUUCCUUGAUUAUUCAAAUCUUCUUUCCUUGCUUUAAAUACGAUGCUUCUACGAUAUCUUGUGUGGUUGAACUGUUUCUAUAUGUUUUUCAUUUUUUUUAGACAUUUGAAGUGUUUAACUUCUCACUUUAUUGUUUCAAUUUCAGAUAAAAAUAUUAGAUUUCUUUAUUAACUAAAUAUUUCAGUAAAUAUACUGAUUCAAAUAGACUAAUUUGACAGUUUAUUUUUAAAUAGACUAGGCCAUUUUGAAUCGACCCAACUAGCUCAUCAGCAAAUGAAUAAAAUAACGGGAGAGUAUGAACUAAGGCUUAUUUAAGGUCCUCUAUCUGUUUGUGGUGAUUGUGUCACAUUCUCAAUGAUCAGCGACUUCAAACAUUUGGAUGAGGUCUCAGAUUCUUUAGAGAAGUUAAAAUUCGCUUGGCCAAAUAUCUAUCUCUUCAAGAUAAUCAUUUCGGCAACAGAUUGUAAGUUGCCCACUGUCUAUAAAGUUCACACCAGGAAGUUGAAAAUGAGCCUGUACCUCGUGUGGAAGUCCUUUAGCUCAAAUACGUUUCUGUCAUGUAAAGAGGAUUAUAGCAUGUAUUUUUGUUAGUUCUUGACCUGAGAAUCAAAUAUUUUCUGUUAUAGACAGAUAGAAGUUGUAUUAUCCUAUUAUAUUUAAAGAAAGCCAAGAAUAAGUGCAUUACCAUGAACAAACUGCUUUAUUUAAUUUUUAUGACUGCUUUCUGGUUUUAAAUGGUUUGGUACAAUUUUUAUUGUCACUUGGUUAUUUUUCUAUCUUGGUGGUCAAGUGACAAAGUGAAGAAGACAUGUUCAUGGCUUCCUUGAUCUGCAGCAUGGACGUUGAUUGUAGAAAAUUUCUGGUCCGCAAACCAGUUUUAGAUUGCGGAAAACUUCUGUUUACUUCUGUUUUACCAUUUUAUUUCUGAAAUGUAAAAGUUUGUGUUUUAAGUGUGUAUUCAGGAUAAUUUUAAAGCCUUUAAGUUCUAUAAUUGAUGGUUGCUCACCUUUGUGCUACAUAUCUUUAAUUUGAUGCCAUAUAGAAGUUGUGUUACGACCUAAUGAUAUGCUCAAGGCUCUUUUGUUUAUAACCUGCAUAAUUUUAAAUGUUGACUCAGUAUCUAUAUAAUAUAUUGUUUUUGGAUUAAUUAUAAAUAUAUUUUAAAUUGCUGUACCCUGGAAAAGGCUAUAUCAUUUGUAAAUCUACAAGAAAAGUGGAAUGCUAAAGUUAUUUAUGGAGAUACUGAUAGGUAACACUAACAUGUUGAAUAUCUUUAGCUAGGUUAAAUUGCACGCCAAUAAGAUAUGCCUAACCAUACUUACCUCACUUAUAUGGUUAAUAUUUUUUCCACAACAGAAAUAUGCAUACUAGGACUUAAGAAACAUGAUAGAAGUUAUGAUAAAGACUAUAUGACAUGAACUCUUUCAUAGCCU